ensembl:snRNA U5 U5 spliceosomal RNA
ACGCUCUAGUUGAUUUUCAAAAUGCAUAAACCUUUCACCUUUUACUAAAGGUUUCCGUAGAGGGAUACAGUUGUGAAUGUUUAAACAAACUUCUUGGGGUCUUGCUCUGGUUCAGGCU